GUUAUGGCUCAGAUUGAACGCUGGCGGAAUGCUUUACACAUGCAAGUCGAACGGCAGCAUAGAGAGCUUGCUCUCUGAUGGCGAGUGGCGAACGGGUGAGUAAUAUAUCGGAACGUGCCUAGUAAUGGGGAAUAACUAGCUGAAAGGUUAGCUAAUGCCGCAUACGACCUACGGGUGAAAGCAGGGGAUCUUCGGACCUUGCGUUAUUAGAGCGGCCGAUAUCUGAUUAGCUUGUUGGUGGGGUAAUGGCCUACCAAGGCGACGAUCAGUAGCUGGUCUGAGAGGACGAUCAGCCACACUGGAACUGAGACACGGUCCAGACUCCUACGGGAGGCAGCAGUGGGGAAUUUUGGACAAUGGGGGCAACCCUGAUCCAGCCAUUCCGCGUGAGUGAAGAAGGCCUUCGGGUUGUAAAGCUCUUUCGCAAGAGAAGAAAACUUGCUAUCUAAUAAAUAGUAAGUAUGACGGUAUCUGAC
rnacentral:rRNA from 1 species